rnacentral:rRNA from 1 species
GUCGGCUCGUCUGUCUGUGCUGGUGGAGACACAUGUGCACGUCGGCGAGUCGCAAAUCCACACACACCUGUGCAUCUAUGACUCUGAGUACCGCUUUGCAUGGCCCUCAGGGGCCUGGUACUCGAGUACUUUACACACUCUGAAUGUAAUGGAAUGUCUUUUUGUACAAUGUACAACUAAAAACAACUUUCAACAACGGAUCUCUUGGCUCUCGCAUCGAUGAAGAACGCAGCGAAAUGCGAUAAGUAAUGUGAAUUGCAGAAUUCAGUGAAUCAUCGAAUCUUUGAACGCACCUUGCACCCUUUGGUAUUCCGAAGGGUACACCCGUUUGAGUGUCAUUGUAAUCUCACUACAACCACUUUAUUGUUGUUUGUAUGUGGACUUGGAUGUUGCCGUGUAACAAACGGCUCGUCUGAAAUGCCUGAGUGUACCCUGCUUUUGCGGCGUAUUCGGUGUGAUAAAUCUUCRCCGGAGUUGACUUUCGGGUCGCGCUCGUAUCGUCGGGCUCUAUGCUUCCAACCGUCCUGACAAGACAAUCUCUGACAAUUUGACCUCAAAUCGGGUGGGACUACCCGCUGAACUUAAGCAUAUCAAUAAGCGGAGGAAAAGAAACUAACAAGGAUUCCCCUAGUAACGGCGAGUGAAGAGGGAAAAGCUCAAAUUUUGAAUCUGGUGUCUUUGACUCCCGAGUUGUAAUCUAGAGAAGUGUUUUCCGCGUUGGACCGUGUACAAGUUCCCUGGAACGGGGCGUCAUAGAGGGUGAGAAUCCCGUAUAUGCCACGGACUACCAAUGCUCUGUGAUACACUCUCAACGAGUCGAGUUGUUUGGGAAUGCAGCUCAAAAUGGGUGGUAAAUUCCAUCUAAAGCUAAAUAUUGGCGAGAGACCGAUAGCGAACAAGUACCGUGAGGGAAAGAUGAAAAGCACUUUGGAAAGAGAGUGAAACAGUACGUGAAAUUGUUGAAAGGGAAGCGUUUGAAGUCAGUCACGUCUGUCGGAAUUCAGCCUGGCUUCUGCCUGGUGUACUUUCCAUCCGACGGGUCAGCAUCAAUUUCGACCGAGGGAAAAAGACGUGAGGAAUGUGGCUGUCUUCGGGCAGUGUUAUAG